AUUGAACGCUGGCGGCAGGCCUAACACAUGCAAGUCGAACGAGUGGCGGACGGGUGAGUAAUGUCUGGGCAACUGCCUGAUGGAGGGGGAUAACUACUGGAAACGGUAGCUAAUACCGCAUACCAUCAGAUGUGCCCCGAUGGGAUGAGCUAGUUGGGUGGGUAACGGCUCACCAAGGCGAAGAUCCCUAGCUGGUCUGCGAGGAUGACCAGCCACACUGGAACUGAGCCACGGUCCAGACGCCUACGUGAGGCAGCAGUGGGGAAUAUUGCACAAUGGGCGGAAGCCUGAUGCAGCCAUGCCGCGUGUAUGAAGGAGGCCUUCGGGUUGUAAAGUACUUUCAGCGGGGAGGCGUUACCCGCAGAAGAAGCACCGGCUAACUCCGUGCCAGCCGCCGCGGUAAUUC
rnacentral:rRNA from 1 species